rnacentral:rRNA from 1 species
CCUACGGGAGGCUGCAGUGGGGAAUAUUGCACAAUGGGGGAAACCCUGAUGCAGCGACGCCGCGUGAGUGAAGAAGUAUUUCGGUAUGUAAAGCUCUAUCAGCAGGGAAGAAGCAAGACGGUACCUGACUAAGAAGCCCCGGCUAACUACGUGCCAGCAGCCGCGGUAAUACGGAGGGGGCAAGCGUUAUCCGGAUUUACUGGGUGUAAAGGGAGCGUAGACGGCUGUGCAAGUCUGAAGUGAAAGCCCAGGGCUCAACCCUGGGACUGCUUUGGAAACUGUGGAGCUAGAGUGCUGGAGAGGUAAGUGGAAUGCCUAGUGUAGCGGUGAAAUGCGUAGAUAUUAGGAGGAACACCAGUGGCGAAGGCGGCUUACUGGACAGUAACUGACGUUGAGGCUCGAAAGCGUGGGGAGCGAACAGGAUUAGAUACCCCUGUAGUC